CCUGGUCUACCUGCUGGUGAAAACUGAUCUUUGUUUAGAAGGGGAAGUCUAGAAUGCUGAAACACUGGAAGAUGUAAAUAUGGCGAAUCAAGUUUAUGGUGGAGAUUCUAGCCAAUGGGGAUUAAGCUCUGUUGCCAUCAAGUCAUCUCUCGGCUCACGCAUACAGGUGAAUAGCAACUGAGACCUGCAACUGCCUUGUUCUCACUGUGAUGAAGCUUCACCUUCCCAGCAUGUGAUGCCACCUUGUCAAUAGGUCAGUCUCCAUCCCCUUGCUGACCAUGUCUUCUGUCCAGGAUAGCUCCUCCAUCUCUAGAGCAGGAUCAUGCUCAUCUGCAGUUCCAUCUCCCAUCAUGUAUCACAAGUACAAACAGAGACAUUACCAUCAAGCUCCUCCCACCUGAUGAAGCCAGAUUAAUCAAGGCCUCAGGUGCUUCCCAGUGUGAUGGGGGAAAUUAUUGACAAAGCAUUUCACUUAUGAAGAAUCACAUUAAACCUGUUAAUCACCUGCUUACUGCUUUACUGUAGGUGCAGGACUUGUUUAUAGGAGUUGCAGUGAUGUUUCCAACCAAUACUGUACAGUGCAGAAUGAAGUGUUAUAACCAUAUGUUCAUUAUAAACAUUUUACAGAAUGGGAAAGAAAUUGCUUUGGAAUUAUUUUGGGGGAAUAAAAAGGCAUCAAGUGAAAACCAAAGAAUAUUCCACUGCCUUAAAACAAACUGGGACAGGCUUCCCAUUGUCUUGCUGUCCUCCGUGC